rnacentral:rRNA from 1 species
AGAUUGGGAUACAUCAGUCGUGCCUUUUGGGGCAUGAAUCGGUGUGUGGUCAAUUCUCACCUUCUGGUGAAUCGGGAUGCUCUCUGGUGUUUCGAUGAACUAGGACCUUUACUUUGAAAAAAUUAGAGUGUUUAAAGCAGGCCUACGCUUGAAUACAUUAGCAUGGAAUAAUAGAAUAGG